GAUGAACGCUGGCGGCGUGCUUAACACAUGCAAGUCGAACGAACCUUCGGGUUAGUGGCGGACGGGUGAGUAACGCGUGAGAAUCUGCCCUCAGGAGGGGGAUAACGGCUGGAAACGGCCGCUAAUACCCCAUAUGCCGAGAGGUGAAACGAAUUUCGCCUGAGGAUGAGCUCGCGUCUGAUUAGCUAGUUGGUGGGGUAAAGGCCUACCAAGGCAUGGAUCAGUAGCUGGUCUGAGAGGAUGAUCAGCCACACUGGGACUGAGACACGGCCCAGACUCCUACGGGAGGCAGCAGUGGGGAAUUUUCCGCAAUGGGCGCAAGCCUGACGGAGCAACGCCGCGUGAGGGAUGAAGGCCUCUGGGCUGUAAACCUCUUUUAUCAAGGAAGAAGAUCUGACGGUACUUGAUGAAUAAGCCACGGCUAAUUCCGUGCCAGCAGCCGCCGUAACAC
rnacentral:rRNA from 1 species